rnacentral:rRNA from 1 species
GAUGAACGCUAGCUACAGGCUUAACACAUGCAAGUCGAGGGACCGGCGCACGGGUGAGUAACACGUAUCCAACCUGCCCUUUACUCGGGGAUAGCCUUUCGAAAGACAGAUUAAUACCCGAUAUAAAGGAUGGGGAUGCGUUCCAUUAGGUUGUUGGUGAGGUAACGGCACACCAAGCCUUCGAUGGAUAGGGGUUCUGUGAGGAAGGUCACCAAGAUGGGAACUGAGACACGAUCCAAACUCCUACGGGAGGCAGCAGGAAGGAAUAUUGGUCAAUGGGCGCUAGCCUGAACCAGCCAAGUAGCGGGAAGGUUAAAGGUGUAUGGUCGUAAACUUCUUUUAUAUAAGAAUAUGUAUUAUAUGAAUAAGGAUCGGCUAACUCCGUGCCAGCAGCCGCGGUAAUAC